CAUCCACUGGACAGACUGGGUUUGUCUGAUCACAAGCAAAGUGGACCAUCCCGUGAAUGAGACACAGUGAAAUUGUAGACAGACUUACACCUUUGCAGACGGCUGGAUGCGGUUUCUACAUCACAGAGCUUUGGAGCUGAUCGCUUAGCCCCACCGCAGAACCACCUGGGAGCUUUUCAAACCUGCCCAUGCCUGAAUCUUUGCCCUCAGGGAUUUGGGUUCCACUGGUCUGAAGUGGAACCCAGGAAUCAAUAUUUUUUACAUACUCUGGAAGUGACUUUAAAGUGCCACCCAGGCUGAGAAUCUUUAGCCAUAACUCGAAGCAGAUAUAUGUUCAGGAUUCCAUGGCUGGUCGAUGAAAUUUUGAAGGAACUCAGAAGACACAUUUAAAGACCUGUAGCAGUCACCGCUGCCUUGCUGAGCCAAACAGCCGCCCAGGAGCAGGCGGUGGAAGGAGACAGUUUAUUUCAGCUUACAGCCUCGAGGGGAAGUUGCCUCAUGACGUGGCUGAGCAGAGGCUGGACAUCGCAUCUCACAUACCAGCUCAAAGGCACCAGCAAAGGGCUCAUGGGCUGAGAGUUUGCCUUUCUUCUCAGUAGAGACUUUGAACUUUUGAACUGUGUUGGGUCCUGAAGUUGGACUGAAUUCAUGCUGCAUGAUGAGGCACCGGCAUGGAAUAUCACGGACUGAGUCUGAAAUGUCUGCCACAGGUCGACACAUCUCUGCUCUGUUGAAAUGAACAAAAAACACAGGAAGGAAUCCAUGAUUAAGCAGAGAAUCGUAAAUCUCAGAGCAAGAGGUUGCUGGGCGGUGUGUGCGUGAACCCUACCGGAGUCAGAUGGCCGGCGGGGACCGAGACUGCUGAAGGUGGUCCUGCAUCCAUUUUGCUGACUCUCUCUCUGGUCCCUUGGGCACUCAGUUGCAUCUGCUAAUGGGCACUGGCUUUCACUGGGGCCCUGGGAGCUCACAGCAGGAGGAAAGCCUGACGCCUCUGCCUUCCUUGUGUGCCAGUCUCCUUGAGAUAAGCCAUUGUCCUAAGUCUGCAGUCACCCUGGACUCUUCCCCCGCCCUUGAUUACCCAGCGGGGAGGCUGUCCUUGUCUUCCCAGAGCAAAAGUGAUCAUCUCCUGAGAACUGCCUUGUUCCCUUAACAAAGAAAGACUUCUUGUAGGACCAGAGCUGAGACAAUGUGGAGUGGAGCCACACCUUCGCCAAGACUGCUUAGUUAUAUGAAUUUUUUUGCUCCCUACCCCACGCUUCCUCCCUUUAAGUCUUAAAAGCCAUGUCAAUGCAUUGAAGAUGAACUUGGGGACACAGGACUCCUGUUCUCUAUUCCUCCUCUCAAUGUGGCCACACUAAUUCAAUCUCCUCCCUCUGCUUUUCACUAUAACUCAUCUCGUUAAUUAGCAUACGGGGAAAGGGAAGCCAAACCUAGCUUGUUAACUUAGCUUAUACCCUAAACUCUGGUUACAUGUCCGUGUAUUUAAAUAGAAUGCCUUCCUCCACAAUGGUCUUACCUGUUCUCAAAAUACUUUAUUUAUUUGUUCAUUUGCAAGUAGAGAGAGAGAAUGGAUAUGCUAGGGCCUCCAGCCACUGCAAACAAACUUCAGAUGCAUAGACCACCUUGUGCAUCUGGCCUAUGUGGCUAGUGGGGAUUCGAACCUGGGUCUUUAGACUUCACAGGCAAACGCCUUAACCACUAAGCCAUCUCUCCAGCUCUGUCUUUUUGUUUUUACUAUAACCUGUUUCCUCUCCUAAGAUGAAAACUCCAUGACAGCAAGGCUAUAUUGAGAACUUUGUUUUUGUUUUUUUCAAGGUAGGGUCUUGCCCUAACCCAGGCUGACCUGGAAUUCACUAUGUAGUCUCAGGCUAGCCUCGAACUGACAACGACUCUCCUACUUCUGCCUCCCGAGUGCUGGGAUUGAAGGCGUGCACCACCACGCCCGGCUAUAUUCAGUGUGGAUCAUCUAUCUGCACAGCCUGGAACAGAAGGGGUCGCUCCAUCAACACUUGUCAAAUGAAUGAAUGUUCGUGGGAAGAUGACCCCGAAGCGGCCUGGGCACAGGCUUUCCAUUAACAGGCCACACAGCUGGAUGCACCCCUUUUACUUUGUCACCCCCAAUUAGAGAGUGGUGGGGAGCAAGCUUUCUUUCCAGCCACAGACAUCUCUGGAGUCCAUGCCUGUCCACUCUUUACCCUCACGUAACCUUGCGCUCCUGCAUCAGGACGCUAAGAUCCCCAGGGCUGAAGAGAUGGACCUUGAGAGCAGGGGCCACUGGGCGGAGGACAGCCUUGAUUGAGUCUUUGCAAUCCUGGGUUUAGGAACAGCAGGGAAACUCCAUGAGCCAAAGGGAAGAAAUGAAAGUGUGUCUGAUGCACACUGGUUACCUGAAGGCUUUUCUGUGGGCUGUAGCUCAUUUGGUAGAGUCUUUGCCUAGCAUGAGGGACUAGGUUAGAUCCCCAGCAUCAUAUAAGCUGGCAUGUUGGCAUUCACCUGUAACCCCAGAAUGGGAGGAGAAGGUGGGGGAAUAGGAAGGUCAGAAGUUCAACAUCAUCUUUGGCUAUACAGAGAGUUAAGAGGCUAGCCUGGGCUACAUGAGACUCUGUCUUAAGAAUAAAAACAAACAUGGGCUGGAGAGAUGGCUUAGUGGUUAAGCGCUUGCCUGUGAAGCCGAAGGACCCCAGUUUG